rnacentral:rRNA from 1 species
UUCGCAAUGCCCGAAAGGGUGACGAAGCGACGCCGCGUGUGGGAAGAAGGCCUUCGGGUUGUAAACCACUGUCGGGAGUUAAGAAAUGCAAGGAUAUGAAUAGUGUCUUUGCUUGACUAAGGCUCCGGAGGAAGCCACGGCUAACUCUGUGCCAGCAGCCGCGGUAAUACAGAGGCGGCAAGCGUUGUUCGGAGUUAUUGGGCGUAAAGAGCACGUAGGCGGCUAUGUAAGUCGGUUGUGAAAGCCUUCCGCUCAACGGGAGAACAGCAUCCGAUACUGUAUGGCUUGAGUGCUGGAGGGGAGAGCGGAACUUCUGGUGGAGCGGUGAAAUGCGUAGAUAUCAGAAGGAACGCCGGCGGCGAAAGCGGCUCUCUGGCCCAUAACUGACGCUGAGUGUGCGAAAGCUAGGGGAGCAAACGGGAUUAGAUACCCCGGUAGUCCUAGCCGUAAACGAUGGGCACUAAGUAGAGGGGUUUU